UCCACCUUAAACUGGUUUCUAUGGUGCUUC
rnacentral:piRNA from 2 species